rnacentral:rRNA from 1 species
UACGGGGGGGGCAAGCGUUGUUCGGAAUUACUGGGCGUAAAGGGCUCGUAGGUGGCCAACUAAGUCAGACGUGAAAUCCCUCGGCUUAACCGGGGAACUGCGUCUGAUACUGGAUGGCUUGAGUUUGGGAGAGGGAUGCGGAAUUCCAGGUGUAGCGGUGAAAUGCGUAGAUAUCUGGAGGAACAUCAGUGGCGAAGGCGACACCCUGGACUCAUACUGACACUGAGGUGCGAAAGCGUGGGGAGCAAACAGG